AGAUAUGAGAGUAAUUUGGUUGUGACACCUGCCACCACAUUGAUGUCAGGGUUGAUUUGGCUGAUCUGGCUGGAUAGAUGGGUGUCCCCUGCCUCCCGCUAUGCUCCAUGCACAUCCCCCCCUGAAGCUGCACACUUGGUCAAAGAGAAGAACCUUCCCUGAUAAAGGAAGAUCAUUAUUUGGUCAAAGGCAUACAAAAAGUUGCCGGUACCUCCAAACAAGAAUAAGAAAAGAAGAGAUCAACGAAGGAGACAAAGAG
rnacentral:snRNA from 1 species